GCAUUUUCAUUUUAGCUUUUGAUAAGUUCAUAACAAUGGUAAGUCAUCCAUCAGCAAUAUCCAACUUCAUCUCAGCCUGAACACGGAGAUCCUACACAAGAUCCAUGAGACUAGGAAUGCAUUUUGCUUACCUAAAAUGAACAUAAUAAGAAAGUUCAGAUACGUACCCAUUCCAGAAUGCAGGACAAUGCAUAUAUGAGCUGCAUUUAUCACUUUGUUACAUACAUGCACUAAUUGAACCAAUAGAAUGCAAACUGGAACUGAUAGACAUAGCAUUAUCAGCGACAAUAAUCCUUUCCUAACAAUCAGUCAAACAUGCACAAUAUGCAGGUCGCUAGUCAGUAAUUCCAAAAGAUCUGAUUCCCCCGGUAUGUUUUUUUCAAAUAUACUGAAAUUAACUUCCUAUAAGUCCAUUCCCUUUGCCUCUGGAACUCCAAAAAUGCCUCUGAGCUUGCAUGAAAGUCUCCUUUUCCCAAAACUUCAAACACAAAUGGAUCCGUUAAUACCAAUGGGGAAUCAUCCAGAUUCAUUUUAUUGAGGGAAAAAUACAAAUUCCGUCCUAGUCUUCUAUCCAAGUAUGCAACAACAACACAGCCGCAAUGUUGAAUGGUAAUCUUGCUUCUAGAAAAGUGGCCGGUGCAUGCAUUGAAAAUGCUAGACAAUUGUAGCAUGAGAAUGGCAUGUGUUCAUUGUGUCCAUAAGCAAAGUCCAUGGUGGUGGGCUACUUUAGUAGAGUCAUGAAUAAUGGCUAGGAUGAUUUCACACUUGGUAUUCACACUUGGUAUGGUUGGUUAUACUUGCCUAUAAAUAGAGUAUGUUGUUAUGUUUAAGUAUUGAAGUAAGAAAAGAGAAAGAAGAAGAAGUAAGAGAGACAAGAAGGCUCUCUCCCUAAAAAAAGGGAAUUAGUAGAAGAAGCAUCCAUAGCUUCUAAGAGUGUUUGAGUGAUUCCUCUUGUAUUAGUUUGUGAGAAUAAAAGUUUUUUUGGUGUUAUACCUUGAGUGUUCUUUUUCUCUUGCCUAUCAAUUUCCGCUGCGUUACAUUCUUCUUUGGAGAUAAACAUCUCCAAAGUAGUGAAGUCUCUUUAAACCCCAACACGCAAGUCACAAGAUCAGGAACAACUUUCUCAUGUGUCAUGUGUUCAAGGCUAAGAUGGAGAGCCCACAGUAGAGACAUCUUUGAAAAGGCCAGAGCACGGAUAUUAAAUGUAGUAAGAUCGGGGCGGAAACCAGCUUCCACCAUUCUCAAAAAUUCUCUUUGUAAGCUUUUCAUCUUAAAAUUCGCAGCAUAUGAUAACAACAAAAGGUUCCACAGAAGAUUUCCCAAGUUUCUUCUACCUAGACCUUGUUGGUAUUGAAAAGUUUACUAACUCAAUACCAAAAUAUGUGGGUGAUAAGUUUACAAACUCUAUCACACCUCUCACUUUGCACUCUCAAUAAAAUUGGACAAAGAAAUAGAGAAAUGAGGGAAGCUACAAGCUUUGGCAAACAAUGCACUUUGAUGUAUUUAAAAGAGUUUACAAACACACUUCUGAAAAUGGAAUAACAAAUCAGAUUCAUGUUUCUAAAACCUUACGGGCUGCUUAUUUAUACAAGCAGAAAAU
rnacentral:lncRNA from 1 species